rnacentral:rRNA from 1 species
GAUGAACGCUAGCGGCAGGCUUAACACAUGCAAGUCGAGGGGUAACAUGAGUGCUUGCACUUGAUGACGACCGGCGCACGGGUGAGUAACGCGUAUAGAAUCUGCCUUAUACAGGAGGAUAGCCUUUAGAAAUGAAGAUUAAUACUCCAUAAUAUUAUAGAUUGGCAUCAAUUUAUAAUUAAAGAUUUAUUGGUAUAAGAUGACUAUGCGUCCUAUUAGUUAGUUGGUAAGGUAACGGCUUACCAAGGCGGCGAUAGGUAGGGGGUCUGAGAGGAUUAUCCCCCACACUGGUACUGAGACACGGACCAGACUCCUACGGGAGGCAGCAGUGAGGAAUAUUGGACAAUGGGCGAGAGCCUGAUCCAGCCAUGCCGCGUGCAGGAAGACUGCCCUAUGGGUUGUAAACUGCUUUUAUACAGGAAGAAACCUACUUACGUGUAAGUAGCUGACGGUACUGUAAGAAUAAGCACCGGCUAACUCCGUGCCAGCAGCCGCGGUAAUACGGAGGGUGCAAGCGUUAUCCGGAAUCAUUGGGUUUAAAGGGUCCGCAGGCGGUCAAUUAAGUCAGAGGUGAAAUCCUAUCGCUUAACGAUAGAACUGCCUUUGAUACUGGUUGACUUGAGUCAUAUGGAAGUAGAUAGAAUAAGUAGUGUAGCGGUGAAAUGCAUAGAUAUUACUUAGAAUACCGAUUGCGAAGGCAGUCUACUACGUAUGUACUGACGCUCAUGGACGGAAGCGUGGGGAGCGAACAGG